AAAACUAGUAAUUGAGAUUUCAAACAGAAUAAUUUAAAAUCUUGCAAAAUAACAUAUCGACAAAAUUUUGUUACAAAACUGUUCGAUAUCGUUAUAACCUAAUAAUGAAAUCUUUAUCGGUUUAAUAUCUAUCCUGGGCGCGAAAGAUAUUAAGGAAACCUUAAAAUUUUCAACUCGUGUAAUCCUAACCAGACCUGGUACCAAACCGCAAGUAUCUUAUGGCAAUUUAUAUCGCGUGUACGAAACGAAAUUAGCAGAUUAUACUUAUGAUACUUCUGCCCAAGAUAAACAGAAACUAAACGCGCAUUCCAUCGAUAUCUUUUUGGACGCUUAACGUACCGAUAAGAUUGACGACUUAAUCUCUUAUAACGAAAAAAGUAUAGUAGUGAGAGGAGAGAAUGAAAUGAAAUAUUUUCUCGAUAAAUAAUCUUGCGAAUAGAUGCGAGACUCUACUUUUUACUCUUGCAUCUGUAUUGCAAACUAUUUAAAUUUCUACCAAAAUUCGAAAUAAUCUCCCAUUUCGAUGCCAGCCUAUUGAAAAUAAAAGAAAAAUCCACAAUUUAAAAGCUAAAAAGAAAAAAAGAAAAUAAAAGCGACGAUCAUUCUAAUACGAUCUUUCGUCGAUCUUUGCUCCUCAUCCCAUCAACAUUGUGGGUCAAGCUCGUUCAAUUCACGUCUACCAUUAAACAUAACGAGCCGAGAAGCACCACGGACGAUUAUCUUCGUAAGGGAGCAUGCUAAUGUGUCGACGAUAACCACCGUGCAUUCUCGUGUCCUUCAUCGCUUACAACGUUGUACACGUUUAUCGCGACGUCCAUGAAGUUUGGAGUCGGAGAACUAUGUCCAAAAUGUCCUUCGGCCAUUCUCUUCCAUCCUCUUCCCUUCCUUCCUUCUUUUUUAUUUUUUUUUUUUUAUUUUUUUCUUUUCCUUGCCUCCAUCACGAUUCCGCUACCCUUCGGUAGUCAGGAGAGUAGUCAAUCGGUUAAUAAUAUCCAACCCAGAGGCUGAAACUCGAAUUAAUUAAAAAUAAUAGGGAGUUUCUUUCCUUCGUUCCUUCUGUUUUCCAUAAAAAUCGCGAGCGAGGCAUAUGAAAAUCUAUGGCUUCUUCUUUUUUCUUUUUUUUUUUUCUCUUUUUUUUCGACACGCGAGUACCAAUUAUUAGGCUUCUGUUUUUGCACUACUUGUAAAGUGCUUAUGCAUGUACCCUGUAAUUUGAAAGAAUAGCUCCGAGAAACAGUUACUUGAUGAGAAUACCUUCGAACGUUGCACGUGGUUAUUUUAGGUGUAAAAUAUAUGCUUAUUAUUCACUGCUCGCUGACCCACUAUCGCGCUUAUUAAUUAUUGAUUAUUGGGUAUCAUUGAACGUGCCGGAAUUCCAAGCUUUCGUGAAAAAAUCGCAAAAAAAAAAAAAACGACGGCGAAAUUACUUCUUCCCGCAAUAAUUUUUAUUUCGAGUAACAAAAUUAUACCGUUCCUUUCUAUCCCAAUUAUAAAAUCCGCUUCCUGAUUUGGCCACGAGUAAUUUCUUCUCCAUAUAUCGCAAUAAUAACGUAUAUAUUUCCAACGAAAAAUCCAAAUUUAGCAAUUAUAUUUUCCUCUCGAUCCGUCAAAUUCCAUCCAAAAUAAUAUUCAUCAAAGAAAAAAAUCUUCUCGGCGUAAAUCGACGAUUCGAAGAGCACUUGCCGUGAAAACACCGAUUCGACAAAAAAAUAAAUAAAUAAAAACAAUUCUCGUAAAUAAUCCCGAUUCGAUGGGACGAGGUUAAAUCGAUCGAUUCGAGAGGUCGAUGGGAUUAAAGUUUCGAAAUGCGAAACGGGCACGUAUGUGCACAACUGGAAUGGAUGAAUCCGCCCCUGGCGCCAUGGUGUGUGCCCAGAGAGAUGUGGCAUGGUGUGUGGUUGUUGGUUGCCGGCCGAUGCCCAGUCUCCAGUCUGGCUGCAGCUGCGAACCGGUUAUAUACUUUCAUCUGGCAGUCUUAGCACGGUCCCUAAAAGAGAAUCCGAUGACUAUAGCCAGGAGAGCGCAUACAUACACCGAUAGAGAGAGAGAAAGAGGAAGAAAAAGAGAGAGAGAGAAAGAGAAAGAGAGAGAGAGAGGAGAAAGGGAAACGAGAGGGAGGUUAAUACCUGUACCGAAGGCACGCUUAUGCAUUGGAAGAAAGGGCGUCGUUUUUUUCAUCCGGACCAGCAGCUACUCCUUCUGGUGUACCAACGAGCUCUUUUUGGAUUUCUGAUUUUCAACGAUUGAAAAGCUACUGAAUAUCGAUACUGUUAUUCAGAAUUAGAAAAUCAUCGUGUACCAGGAAAUUGGAAGAAAUCACAACGAGGAUCGAGUUGGGACCGAGUUGUGUA